UGGUGAUCUGGCCACGACAGCUAUCACCCCCAUUGAUCACCAAGAUUGACUCAGCUGAUCUGACUGGCUAGGCGGGUAUCCCCUUUCUCCCUUACCACUCCAUGUGUGUCCUUUCCAAAGCUUUGUGCUCAAAGAGGAUGACUUUCCCUGAUAGAAGGUAUAGGAGUAACUGUGCUUCCCUGCUAGAACCUCCAAUUGAGCUCUCAAGGUCCAUUUGUAGAAGUAGGUUAGUCAAGCUUCCGAGGCUCCAGACAUCCAAAUGAGGCACUGCAUGUGACAGUCUGUCUUAAAAU
rnacentral:snRNA from 1 species